UACGAGAAGCUACUAAGGGCUUACGGUGGAUGCCUUGGCGUCAAGUGCCGAUGAAGGACGUGGGUCACUGCGAUAAGCCUCGGGGAGCUGUGAACAAGCGCCGAUCCGGGGAUUUCCGAAUGGGGAAACCCGCUAUUGCGAACCAAUAGCAUCACACAUUGAAUAUAUAGAUGUGUAGAAGGGCACCUGGGGAACUGAAACAUCUAAGUACCCAGAGGAAAAGAGAUCAUUCCCAGAGUAGUGGCGAGCGAAAUGGGAGUAGCCCAAACCGUUCUAGCUUGCUAGAGCGGGGUUGUAGGGCCAGACACAUAGAAGUUACAAAAUGAUUGGUUAGUGGAAUGGUGUGGGAAAGCCAACCAAAGAGGGUAAAAGUCCCGUACGCGAAAAUCAGUCAUCUUCUGUUUGGUACCUGAGUACUGCCGGGCGACGCUAAUCCGGCAGGAAUCUGGGGGGUCCACCCUCCAAGGCUAAAUACACUUGACGACCGAUAGUGAACUAGUACCGU
rnacentral:rRNA from 1 species